CAAAAUAGUACUUUCAAAGAGAAAUCUUUCUGUUAUUAAUCCUCUAAUCCACAUGACUUCUCUAGCUCAUUUGCCGACCUACAGAGGAGGCCCUUGGGACACAAAGGUAAGACUCCCAUUUCCUGGUGCAUUUCAUUUGUUCGUGGACACGUCUAUUCUCUGAUGGCAAGCAUGUGACUCACAAGCAUCCAAAUCAUCUGCACAAUACAGACCUUGUCCCUAUAUAUAAUACUGGGCAAGCUGUUGCUCUAUGGACAGCAUUUGAGUCUCAUUCAUAUGGCCAGAGCCAAAUAUUUGUUUCUAAAAAUGGGAAAUGAGAUCUUUUUCAUUUGAGUGUUUUCAUUCAUUUACAAUAAUUCGACCAAAUAUUUUUGAAUACUUUCUACACACCAAAAACCAUCCAAACAUCUGGGGGAUCUGUAGAUGAAAGACAGAUUUCUGCCUUGGGGAGAGGGAACUCACAAUAGGGUCAGGAAGAAAGUCAUAAAAGCAGAGAUGAAAACAGCGUAAUGAUUGGUGUGGAGGAGAUACGAGUAGGAGGAUGGAGUGUACAGGAGCAGGGUUCUCAUCUCAGACAUUGGUAUAAGCUUCGGGGACUUGCUAGUGACUGAGGUCCCCAUCUUGUAUGUAACAUCAGCACUUUCAGAGUACCUUCAAUGAGAUUCAUAUUUCAUUUCAGGUGAUCUUCUCAACAUAUACCUCAGUUAACAUUGUGCGGAUGGCCGCCUUCUCCUCUCCUGGAAAUAAGCAAAUUGACAACACAUUUGUAGGUCUCACUGGUCCCUGCAACUGAUGCAACCUUUACUUUAAGAGAAUAGGACAUCAUGUUCAUAAAGAAACUUGGAUCUCGAACAUACCUAAAAAGCAGCUUAAAGUCCUUGGAGCAAACAGUACAGCUGAGAAAUGUUACACCAGUUGGGUGUCAAUCCAUAAAACCCGUUCUAGAGAAAAUCGUGGAGAUGUUUAAAGACAUGAAGCCAAAGACAAAUUUUUCAACCAGAACCCUCAAGAAAUGUCACUUCUGUGUCUUGCCAAGAGAGAUCCAGCAUUUUUUCUACAUAAACAUCUGCUGGAAACAUUUUAAAGGGAGGCAUUUUAAAUAAUGACGUUUAUAGCUUCUUGUUCUUUAAUAAGUCUGAAAAAGAAGAAAAAUGAAUUUGUGAUACAUUCCUUCCCAAAGCAACUUUUCUUCACUGAUAUGCAUCAUAUUAGAUGAUCUAAAAGUGAAAAUAUUAACAUUAUGUUGGGGGGAAAUGGUUAAGAACAUUUCUCUGAACUGUCUGUAUCAAUCAUACCUGAGAGUCAGUCAUAAAUCACAGGUUCCUUAAACUCCAGAAACUCCAUCAGUUCAUUGUUUCGCCUACUUGUUUGUGGCAAUUAUACUACAUUUAUAUUUACAUAAUAAUUGGAUUUUCUAUUAAAUUAAACAAAAAACCUCUCAAAAAAGAGAGUCAGGGAACCAUAACUUAGCUAUACAACCUGAACAAUGCAAACUCAUUUGUAGUUAGAAUGGAAACUUCAUCUUGUACAAACUAACACGGAUGUUUGGGGAUAAUUCUCUGUAGGAAAUGCAAGAUAUAUUGCCAGGCUCUUUAAGGUUCCAUGGAAAAGACACACACGCAUUGCCUUUGGUAAUAGGUGUUUAUUGCAAAGAUACACAAAGAUGUAAUUUAGCAAGAAAUGUUAUCUCGUAGUUACUUUGGGUUUCACUGUUUUAAAGAAUCAAGUGUACUGCAGGCAUCAUGAAGAAGUGAGAAAAUGGCUUGGCACCUUUCAGAUUACAAACUAAGCUCAAAUGAUAUGUCUUUUUUUCCUUUACCCAGCAUUUUAACUUCCCCAAACAACUGAUUUGAUUGACAGCUUUGCCACCAUCAAAAACCUAUUGUCAUGAAUUUCACCCAAGUCAGCUCAGGGUACUUAUGCACUAGUACUUAAGUAAAAGGUUGUUUCUCUUGACACAUGGAGUUCAAGCAAUUAAUGACCAAUUCAAUGAAGUACUGGUUUUGGUCCUUUUAGAAAUUAGCAAUGGCCAUGGCUGAAACAAUUUUCCUGGAGUUCUUCUGCAGCAUAUUCAAUAAAUUAGAUAAAAUGGAAAAAAGUGCAUAAGGCAAGGAUUCAGUAUGUAUGCCUUCAAAUGAAGACAGGUUAUCACCUGAAAAUAGCUUUGGAGACUGACAGUAUACUGAAAAACAUUAUUAGUAAUUACUACUUUUAGGAUGGUGGAGUAAGAUCCUCCAUCAAAACAUGAGUUUCCUAAACUCUGACAUCAGCCUCCAAACCACAUACACCCAUCCAAUGAAACAGGUAAAAAUCUGUCUGGCUACUAGGUGUUAAAUGCAGCCUUUGAGGAAUAAGUAUCUUAUAUGAACCAGGGACAACACGUAACUAAUCAGGUGACAAGAUGCAGACAUGGGUUAAAAUUUGAGCAGGAAAAGCAGAAAUUUAAUGCUAUAAUGGAAAUAGACUAUAGAAUUACUUCACCAAACUUACUAAACAAAUAAGUAAACAACCACAUACACAGCCAAAACAACCCUUAGUGUGUGUUGGUGAGGGGAAUUAGAAUAGGGACUUGCUAGAAUAUAUUAUUUUUAAAAUUUCAGUUUUCAACAGCAACAACAAAAAUGUCAUCUACAAAGAAAUAGGAAAAUGUUAGACAGAAGAAAGGAAGUGGGCAAUGGAAAUAUUGCUUUGGAAGAGGUCCAGAUGGUGAAUUAAAAAACACCUCCAAGCAAUUAUUACAGAUAUGUUCAAAGACUAAAGAAAAACCAUAUUUCAAUAAUUAAUGAUUAUAAUGACAAUGUCCUAUCAAAUGUAUUAUAUAUCAAUACAGAUAGAAAAAUAUCGAAAGGAAUCAAAUAGAAAUUCUAUAUUAGAAGUAAAAUAAAAACAAAAUUAAAAGUUUACUAGCAGGGUUCAACAGUAGAUACAAGGAAGCAUGAGAAAGAAUGUGUAGAUUUGAAGAUAGAUUCAACAGAGAUCAUGCAAUCUGAAGAGUAGAGAAAAAAAUAAUAAAAACAUGCAGGCAGCCUCAGAAAAAUGUGGGAUAACAAUAAAUACAUUAACAUACAUAUAAUGGAGUUACCAGAAGUAUAGGCAAGAGAGAAAAGGACAAAUAAAUAUUCAAAGAAAUAAUGGAUGAAAACUUCCAAAAUUUGAUGAAGACAUUAUCUAAACAUCCAAGAUCAAUUAAUGAACUAGAAGGAGGAUAAAUGCAGAGAUAUAUCAACACCCACACACAUCAUAGUCAACACAUUAAAACCCAGAGAUAAACAUAAUAUUUUCAAAUUGGUAAGAGGAAAAGUACUCAAGUACCAGGAGAUUCCACUAAAAUUAAUAGCUGACUUUGCAACAGAAACAAUGGAGGUCAGAAAGCAGUGGGGUGACAUACUUAAAGGGCUAAAAGUAAAAAUAACUGUCAGCCAAAUAUACACACAUUGAAAUUAUUUUUUAAAAAUGAAGGUUCAGGCCAGGUGCAGUGGCUCAUACCUAUAAUCCUAGCACUUUGGGAGGCCCAGGCUGGCAGAUCACCUGAAGUCAGGAGUUCGAAACCAGCCGUGACAACAUUGAGAAACCGCAUCUCUACUGAAAAUAGAAAAAUUAGCUGGCGUGGUGGCACAUGCCUGUAAUCCCAGCUACUCAGGAGGUUGAGGCAGGAGAAUUGCUUGAACCCAGGAGGCAGAUGUUGCAGUGAGCCAAGAUGGCACCACUGCACUCCAGCCUGGGUGACAGAGCGAGACCUCCUCUCAAAAAAACAAAACAAAAAACAAAAAGAAAAAAAAGUAAGAAGGUGCAGUGAGUACCUUGUGAGCUAAAUAAAUACCCAGAUAAUUGUUUCUUUAAGAACUGCUUUUCAAAAAUACCAAAGGAAAUUAAUCAAACUGAAAGCAAGUUAAACCAGUCAGUAAUCAAAUCCACAGAGAGAAAAAAAACACUCAAAAAGGCAAUUAGGUAGGCAACUACAAAAAAUGAGAUAAUUGCCUAUUUGUUUUUUUCUUCUCGUAACCAUUUUAAAAAGCAAUUGUUAAAAAUAUGUAAAUAAUUAUAUUAUUGAGCCUAUAAUAUGUAGAAAUGUAAUAUAUUUGAAAAUAAGAGCAUAGAGGAAGUAGGUAGAAAUAAAGCUAUAUAGGAAUGAGAAAAUGAUACCACAACUCAAAUACCUAGGAAGAAAUAAAGAGAACCAGAAAGAGCAAAUAAGG
rnacentral:lncRNA from 1 species